CCUACGUGAGGCAGCAGUGAGGAAUAUUGGUCAAUGGGCGCGAGCCUGAACCAGCCAAGUAGCGUGAAGGAUGACUGCCCUACGGGUUGUAAACUUCUUUUAUAAAGGAAUAAAGUGAGGCACGUGUGCCUUUUUGUAUGUACUUUAUGAAUAAGGAUCGGCUAACUACGUGCCAGCAGCCGCGGUAAUACGGAGGAUCCGAGCGUUAUCCGGAUUUAUUGGGUUUAAAGGGAGCGUAGAUGGGUUGUUAAGUCAGUUGUGAAAGUUUGCGGCUCAACCGUAAAAUUGCAAUUGAUACUGGCAGUCUUGAGUACAGUUGAGGUAGGCGGAAUUCGUGGUGUAGCGGUGAAAUGCUGAGAUAUCACGAAGAACUCCGAUUGCGAAGGCAGCUUACUAAACUGCCACUGACAUUGAUGCUCGAAAGUGUGGGUAUCAAACAGGAUUAGAUACCCGAGUAGUC
rnacentral:rRNA from 1 species